rnacentral:rRNA from 1 species
AGAGUUUGAUCCUGGCUCAGAUUGAACGCUGGCGGCAUGCCUUACACAUGCAAGUCGAACGGUAACGCGGGGGCAACCCUGGCGACGAGUGGCGAACGGGUGAGUAAUACAUCGGAACAUAUCCAGUAGCGGGGGAUAACCUAUCGAAAGAUGGACUAAUACCGCAUACGAUCUACGGAUGAAAGCAGGGGACCGCAAGGCCUUGCACUAUUGGAGUGGCCGAUGUCGGAUUAGCUAGUUGGUGAGGUAAAGGCUUACCAAGGCGACGAUCCGUAGCUGGUCUGAGAGGACGAUCAGCCACACUGGAACUGAGACACGGUCCAGACUCCUACGGGAGGCAGCAGUGGGGAAUUUUGGACAAUGGGCGCAAGCCUGAUCCAGCCAUGCCGCGUGAGUGAAGAAGGCCUUCGGGUUGUAAAGCUCUUUCGGUGAAGACGAAACGGUUAGCGCUAAUAACGCUGACUAAUGACGGUACUCACAGAAGAAGCACCGGCUAACUACGUGCCAGCCGCGGUAAUACGUAGGGUGCAGGCGUUAAUCGGAAUUACUGGGCGUAAAGCGUGCGCAGGCGGUUUGCUAAGACAGGUGUGAAAUCCCCGAGCUUAACUUGGGAAUUGCGCUUGUAACUGGCAAGCUAGAGUGUGGCAGAGGGGGGUGGAAUUCCACGUGUAGCAGUGAAAUGCGUAGAUAUGUGGAGGAACACCGAUGGCGAAGGCAGCCCCCUGGGUUAACACUGACGCUCAUGCACGAAAGCGUGGGGAGCAAACAGGAUUAGAUACCCUGGUAGUCCACGCCCUAAACUAUGUCAACUAGUUGUCGGGGAAGAAAUUCCUUGGUAACGAAGCUAACGCGUGAAGUUGACCGCCUGGGGAGUACGGCCGCAAGGUUAAAACUCAAAGGAAUUGACGGGGACCCGCACAAGCGGUGGAUUAUGUGGAUUAAUUCGAUGCAACGCGAAAAACCUUACCUACCCUUGACAUGCUAGGAAGCCCGCAGAGAUGUGGGUGUGCCCGAAAGGGAACCUAGACACAGGUGCUGCAUGGCUGUCGUCAGCUCGUGUCGUGAGAUGUUGGGUUAAGUCCCGCAACGAGCGCAACCCUUGCCAUUAGUUGCUACAUUCAGUUGGGCACUCUAAUGGGACCGCCGGUGACAAACCGGAGGAAGGUGGGGAUGACGUCAAGUCCUCAUGGCCCUUAUGGGUAGGGCUUCACACGUAAUACAAUGGUCGGUACAGAGGGCUGCCAACCCGCAAGGGGGAGCUAAUCCCAGAAAGCCGAUCGUAGUCCGGAUUGUAGUCUGCAACUCGACUGCAUGAAGCCGGAAUCGCUAGUAAUCGCGGAUCAGCAUGUCGCGGUGAAUACGUUCCCGGGUCUUGUACACACCGCCCGUCACACCAUGGGAGUGGGUUCCACCAGAAGUAGUUAGCCUAACCGCAAGGAGGGCGAUUACCACGGUGAGAUUCAUGACUGGGGUGAAGUCGUAACAAGGUAGCCGUAUCGGAAGGUGCGGCUG